UAUGUUGCUAUGUGGAUUGCCCUGGUGUGGAGCCCAAGGGGUUGUCCCACGAUUCGUUGGAGCCCGGCCGCGCCCAUCGUUCCGGAGCCCAGCACCGCCUACCAGUUAAUUUAUUCACUGCACUUGCCCUGACGUCAAUCCUUCCAAGCGCCGUAAUUUCGCGCAGGCGCAGUGUACACAGUAGUCUGCGCCCGUGAGGACUACUGGCACAGGCUUCGUCGAUC